GUGUUGACAGUAACAACGAAAAUUUUCUACUUUCUCUGAAAAUCAUUUUUUUUCUAAACAACAGCUGGAGGAGGGAAUUUACAUUUGCUGGCAUCGCUGUUGCAACCAGUGCCAUCGAACACAUAAUUUGGUGGACAGGCCAUCACCUCGGAUGGUUUAGCUGAAGCAGCACUACAAUA